UACGGAGGGUGCGAGCGUUGUCCGGAAUCACUGGGCGUAAAGGGCGCGUAGGUGGCUUGGCAAGCGUGUGGUGAAAGCCCGGGGCUCAACCCCGGGUCUGCCGUGCGAACUGCUAUGGCUUGAGCACUGUAGAGGCAGGUAGAAUUCCGGGUGUAGCGGUGGAAUGCGUAGAGAUCCGGAAGAACACCGGUGGCGAAGGCGGCCUGCUGGGCAGUCGCUGACACUGAGGCGCGACAGCGUGGGGAGCAAACAGG
rnacentral:rRNA from 1 species